AUAAGUAAGUCAUAAGUUCAGACUCACCUAAUGCUUUCCAAUGUCUCAGUUUUCAGCUUAUCCUAAAUUUGUUUAUUUCAGAAUGGGCCCAGGUCUGCCCCUUUCACAAUGCUCUAAACCUGUAAACUAUUUUUUAUACUGAACCUGUGAUUUUGCCUAAGUUCAGUGCUUUAAAAACUUCUUUAAGGUCUUUUAAACUGCCCUUCAUGCAUCUCCCUUUUACUUGAUUUAUGCGGCUUACUCAUAAGCCUUUUCACACUCGUCCGCAGCUUUGACUCUCUUUUAACACACUCUUGUCUGAAAUUAAUGUUUUCCUAUAAAAUCAACUGAUUUCCUAAAUCCUGUCAACUCCUAAAACGGGCUCAGGGAGCUCGAAGCAGAUUUUCUAUCCAGCCCUUAUGUGUUAAACUAAUCUGCCCCCUAUUCUAACCUCUUCUAAAGACCAAAUCAGUAAUUGGAGUCAUGUUAAACUAUUUGAUGUAUGUUACGGGGUUUACUUGAGCCUUUGAUUGUUUAUUUGCGUAUCUCUUACAUGUUAUGUGUUUUUGACUGUCGCUCUAGUAUUUUUACCUUUGAAUACUCCAUAUAUAUAUAUAUCCUAUCUCUCUCUCUCCCCCUUUUAGGAUUAGAAUUUCUAAUACCCCAGAACUAACAGGUUGGGACGGGUAUUAGCAUGCAAUAAGUAAACGAUACAAACGCCUUUAAAUACCUUAACGGGGUGGGAAUGGUAGAAUAUGGAGAUAAUGACCGGUAUGCUAAUACCAUAUGCGAACCCUCUUUGAGGAGUGUGUGCGGAGUAUUGUGCCGAUGUUAUCCAUAUUAUAGUUAAACCAAGGACCCUUCUUUCUCCUAUAUUUGCUUUAUUUAAAUGCUUUCUUCUAGUAAUGCUUUUCAAACUAGUCCUCUCUUAUUUCAAACAUAUAUCCUUCCUUUUCUUUAAAGCUUUCCAAUUAUGUAAAUGUUAUGCAUGUGCACCUUAUUUGUCUACUUGCUUCAUAUUCUAUUAAAGUCAUAAUUAGCACGGUCGGGAACCACAUUUGUGGAUCUUGAGGGGUGCCUAACACCUUCCCCUCGAUAUAAUUUCAAGCUCUUGCCCAACUCUGGUUUUUCUCUCAAAAACACUCUCUUCAUCUUAAAGUGUCCUAAUGCACUAU
rnacentral:lncRNA from 1 species